CAGAAUUACUACCUCCUGAUCCUUUGUGUGAAGGAAAUGAUGGGGUAAACUCAUGUGGGAAAUCUUCAUCAGCGAACUUUGGAGAAAAGAGGUGCAGUGGAACUGGCUAAAUCGAUUGUUAGGCAAUAUAAAACUGAAGGGAAGGCAGCAAGAUUUUGAUUCCUUGGCUAUUACUAACAGCGCUGGGCCAGUCUAAAAAUCUAAAAGAAGAGUGGUUGAAAGUUGGCGAAAAAUCUGUAUGUUAGACUAAUUUGUCCUGUCAAUGAAAAGCUUUCUUCAGCCUUUGGCUUAAGCACACUUAUGGCUAUGGGGAGAUGUGAUAUUCACUUACACAGUAACUCAGUUAAGGUCAUCUAUUAUCUGUAAGAAUAUGCAGAUACCUGGAAGCCAAGGAAUGUAUUCUUUUAAAUAACUGGCUUGUUUUAUAAAACAAUAGCAAGAGAAACCUGGUGAAUUAUGCAAGCAUAUAUUCUUAGAAUUAGUGUUCAGAAGGCACUUCACUAAUUUUUGAUUCUACUGAAUGGAAUGGAUUAUUCGAGUUGAUAGCUCCUCAACAGAUUGCAAACGUUUACAGGUAGGAGCUUCCAGGCAUGUGCCAGCUACUCUGCAGCAGUGGAUAAAUGCAACUAUUGCUCACAUCUGCCCAGAGGGGGGUAAAUGCCCAGUCCUUCCUCAUACACAAAUGGAAUGCUUCCUAAGUGGUUGAAAUGUUAGCAAUGUUUUUGUUGUUGUUGUCGCUGUUUUGAUAACUCCGUAUGCAGAAGUUCACGGUGGUCAUAGGAAAAGGAGGAAGAGGGAGGAGCCCAGUUGUCUCUCUCAUUCUAAAGCUUCCCAAUCCACCUCCCAGGGAUUAAGAUUUGAAUUUAGAGAAUUACAGCAUCCUCUUCUUGAGACAGCGCAGGGGUCGCUGAAAACACGUGAACAAACCAGAGUUCUGCCACAGAUAACAAUAAAGAAACUCCAGUGCCGAAGACAUGACAGGCCGCUGGAAUAGACCUCUGCCAAAUACAAGCUGUACCCAAAACCCAUUGGUACAGGACCCCAGAAAGUGCAGCUCAAGUGGCCCAUCGCUCCUCCUGCCCUAAAGCACGCUGUCUGGUUUCAGGUGGAACGUGACACAGGAGCCAAUACCAAUGAAUGCUUAUGUGGUAGCUGCCAGGACUUCAAGUUCUCUUGUGUUAUAAAAAUUGUUUUCACUAGAAUAAAAUGUAAGGAUGAA
rnacentral:lncRNA from 1 species